GACGAACGCUGGCGGCGUGCCUAACACAUGCAAGUCGAGCGAUGAAAUCCCUUCGGGGAUAGAUUAGCGGCGGACGGGUGAGUAACACGUGGGUAACCUGCCUCAAAGCGGGGGAUAGCCUUCCGAAAGGAAGAUUAAUACCGCAUAAUAUUAGAUUUUCGCAUGAAGAACUCAUUAAAGGAGCAAUCCGCUUUGAGAUGGACCCGCGGCGCAUUAGCUAGUUGGUGAGGCAAUGGCUCACCAAGGCGACGAUGCGUAGCCGACCUGGGAGGGUGAUCGGCCACAUUGGAACUGAGACACGGUCCAGACUCCUACGGGAGGCAGCAGUGGGGAAUAUUGCACAAUGGGGGAAACCCUGAUGCAGCAACGCCGCGUGAGUGAUGAAGGUCUUCGGAUUGUAAAGCUCUGUCUUUUGGGACGAUAAUGACGGUACCAAAGGAGGAAGCCACGGCUAACUACGUGCCAGCAGCCGCCGUAAUAC
rnacentral:rRNA from 1 species